CCUGGGACAGCAGGCCCGGCCCUGGUUUGGGGAUGUCCUUGUAAGUAUGAGGUCAUGGAGCGGGGGUAGUGUCCCCAGACAAGGUGUGCUAGGGAGGGGAAGGGAAGGGAAGGGAGGCCCUUGAAAGAUGAGGAGGAAGAAGGAAGAGGCCACCACAGGAGCACAACUUUGGGACCAGAGAGAGGCUCCUCCAGUUAGAGAACUGCCAGCUGACAGCACUUCCUGCCCUCCUAAGCACUGUCCACUGUCUGAAACCUCCUUUGCCCCCCGUAACCUCCUGCCUUCCUCGUGUUUCCUCACUUCUAUCAGGACUUCACAUAUACCAGGCUUCACCAGAGGAGAUGAGAGCAGUUACCUGCCUAGGGGAGCCGGCAGUUCUAGAAGAAACCAGCAGAUGGCGAUAGCGGCUCCCACGUCUCGGGUCCAUAGAAGCAGCUGGAUUCCCCCACUUGAUUUGCACUCUCUGGUUCUGGCUCCCUUGAGAGUUAGGGUGGGGAGAGUUCGGACAUCACCCGAGGCAGAAGGAGCUGCCAAACAUAACUUGGAAUGGAUAAUUAUUGUAAAAUAUUUGUUAAUUAACUCUGUGCUAAAACCCUGUUUGAAACUUGUUUGAAACUUGUCCCUGUUUGAAAACUCUGGGUGGGCCUUCUCCCUCUUGUGGGGCACCCUGCUCCCAGAGAGAUUAGAAACUAGCCUUAAAGUAUGUUUAUCUAAGUAUCCCAUACCUAAUGCUGCUGUACCACACCCUUGCUACAUCCCCUAUGAUCGAAACUCGAGCUACCCUCGCCACCUAAUGUUGCUUUUUCAAGCGCUCGCCACAUUCUGCUGUGUAACUGCAACUUAAACUACCCUGUAAAAGGUAUAAAAAGGAGAAACUGCCUUAAAUCGUGGUCAGCCUAGAAGGACUCGUUUCCUGAGGCUGUCCAUUGCC
rnacentral:lncRNA from 1 species